rnacentral:lncRNA from 1 species
GGGGGGCAUGCCGGUCUUGCAUCUCGAAACUGGAAAAAUAUGAGAUAGUUCAGUUACGCAUGCAAAAUCAAGAAAAAAAAAAUUAACUCUAAAAGAAAUGAAAUUUUUGUUGACAAAUUUAAACUCCAUCAAUGAUAUUAACACUCGCCGCUUAUCCGAGCUGAACAAGCAAGAAUCAUACAAAAAGAACUCAGCAACAACAAUUUGAAGAGACUGCUCCAAAUUUAUAUCGAUAAUUUUUUUGAUGAUCUUGGAGAUUCGA